AGCGAACGUUAGCGGCGGGCCUAACACAUGCAAGUCGGGCGAGAAAGUGGCUUCGGCCAUCAGUAAAGCGGCGGACGGGUGAGUAACACGUAGGUAAUCUUCCCUUGAGCGGGGGACGAACGUUUCGAAGGAACGCUAAUACCGCAUACGUUCCCGGGACGGCUCUGGCCCCUCGGGAGGGAAAGCUAGGUCGCAAGAUCCGGCACUCGAGGAGGAGCCUGCGUCGCAUCAGCUAGUUGGUGGGGAACGGCCUACCAAGGCGAAGACGCGUAGCUGGUCUGAGAGGAUGAUCAGCCACACUGGGACGUGAGACACGGCCCAGACUCCUACGGGAGGCAGCAGUGGGGAAUAUUGGACAAUGGGCGCAAGCCUGAUCCAGCCACGCCGCGUGAGUGAUGAAGGCCUCGGUC
rnacentral:rRNA from 1 species